AGCUUUCUGUAUCUGUGGUGAGAUUUCGUUAGCGAUCAAGCCAUUACGGCUGAUGUGACCUCCAAAAUAAAUGAAGUA
rnacentral:pre_miRNA from 1 species